GCAGGAUUGUGAGGGACCCGGAAAGGCCGAAGCCGGAGGCCGAAGCCGGAGGUCUACUCAGCCGCUGGGGACGUCUCCCCACCAGCUGGUGACCGGGAAGGCCGAAGCCGGAGGCCGAAGCCGGAGGUCCACUCAGCCGCUGGGGACAUCU